AUUGAACGCUGGCGGCAGGCUUAACACAUGCAAGUCGAGCGGAGAGAGGUAGCUUGCUACUGAUCUUAGCGGCGGACGGGUGAGUAAUGCUUAGGAAUCUGCCUAUUAGUGGGGGACAACAUUUCGAAAGGAAUGCUAAUACCGCAUACGUUCUACGGGAGAAAGCAGGGGAUCUUCGGACCUUGCGCUAAUAGAUGAGCCUAAGUCGGAUUAGCGAGUUGGUGCGGUAAAGGCCUACCAAGGCGACGAUCUGUAGCGGGUCGGAGAGGAUGAUCCGCCACACUGGGACUGAGACACGGCCCAUACUCCUACGGGAGGCAGCAGUGGGGAAUAUUGGGCAAUGGGCGGAAGCCUGAUCCAGCCAUGCCGCGUGUGUGAAGAAGGCCUUAUGGUUGUAAAGCACUUUAAGCGAGGAGGAGGCUACUUUAGUUAAUACCUAGAGAUAGUGGACGUUACUCGCAGAAUAAGCACCGGCUAACUCUGUGCCAGCCGCCGCAGUAAGAC
rnacentral:rRNA from 1 species